rnacentral:misc_RNA from 1 species
CGCCUCACAUGCGUUUGCGUAGCGCGCCUCUUCUCCUCUGUGUGCACUGCCCUCCCUCCUCCCUCUCUCCUCCCGUGGUCGUCUCCGCAACCGCCUCAGAGUGCGCGGGCGAAAGACUUGGGAGAGCACAGCACGAGCCCCACCCGGUGGCUGCCAGCUAGACACGCGCACAGAAAAGGAAAGCACACGGCCGCAAGCUCGCCAACCCCACCCCACCCCACCACCUCCCCAACGCCAUGGCCUCGACGCUGCCACCGGAAAAGAAGCGGAAGGCCACCAAGGCGGCAGCGGGAACAGCGUCCCAACGGAAGGGCAACGCUGGUGGCGGCGGUGAGCACGUGCGCGAGGACCCCCACCACACAUGGAACCAGCAACUCAUGGAGGCCUGCCUCGCCUGCGAUGCGGCGGCGGUGCGGAAACUGAUCGAGCGCGGCGCCGACCCAGUCAACGCGCGCGAAGUGCCGCCCCUGAGCUACUACACGGGCCCCAUCAUUCAGCAGCUGCAGCUCCAGCAGCAAGCCUCAUCCGAGGCCCGGUCUCACUCAGAACCGCUCGUCAUUGAUCAGCUGCGUGGGGAUCAACCACCGCGGCAGCAGAGCCCGUUGAGCGGCUCGUCGCUGCCGCUGCCUGCUGCCGCGGCAGCGGUCCCCGACAGUCUCCCUCCGUUGGCGGCGAUGCUGCUCUCCGGCCUUAACACGCCAGCCGCGCUGGAGGUGAUGAAGGUGCUCAUUCAACACGGCGCGAGCGUCAACGAUACCUUCUCGUUUUCUGUAGCCCCCCUCACCGCUGCACGGCCUGGCACGGACGUGAGCGAAAACGAGAGCGGCGGCAGCACCGCCUACGGGGCGUCGGCGAACGACAGCGGUGGGCACCGCAAGAACACAUGCGUCUCCAGCCCGGAUCCGAAAGGCAAGCAGCCCAGUGGUAAGAGGAAGGCGUCGGUCAUCGGGACAGCCCUUACGGCGGCGGCCGGUGGGUCUGCGCUCGUCAGCGCCGCCGGCACACCGGGCGGUGCCGCUGUGAACCCGCCCGAGGCACCAAGGCACGAGGAGAGCACCAUCGUUGGCUCCGUCUUGCACUACGUUGUUGCCCACGGAGACCACGCUCAACUUCUACGCCUGCUGCUCCUCGCAGCCACCGCCGUCCACUCCGCCGCCGGCGCAGCGCCUGUUUCACCGUCGCUACCGCUGCCGCUGCAGCAACAGCUGGCGACGGGCGAGCCCCACGCUGAGGGUUCCACGGCGUUCUUGCCGCACCUCUUUCCUGUUCCGCUUCCCUGCACCCUCUUGCCUGCCGUCGAGGCGGAGACGAUCGUUGGUUUCAUGCGGUGGCAGCACCAGCAGCGUCUCGGUGGAACAGCAGACGCCGCCGGACCGAAUGGUUUGCCAUCACCGACCGCCACUCCGCGUGUGUCACAGUCGCGCAAGAGUCACAUUGUGAGCAACGCCGCUGCAACCGCCCGCACUUACGGCUCCGCGGCGGCAGCGCAGCCGGCCACAGCCGUCCUUCCGGCACAGGCAGCUGGGCCCGUGAGCGCCACCAGCCUCGUGUCGCCGUCUGCGGCGGAGGCUGUGCUGACCGCACUCCAGCAAGUCCUGCGGCAGCGCCAGACGAGCACCGGCGGCUACCACGGCUUGCCGAUCCUCAUGAGCGUGUACCCGCAGCAGCAGCAGAAAGAAGACAAAGCCGAGCUCGGCGGCGGGGCAGCCACGGGCAGCGCCGCGGCACCGGUCGUCGUUGCCGCUGCCGCUCCCUGCAACUGGUGGAGCCUGGCCGGCCUCUGCGACGCCGCUGAUGCAGUCGUCACCGACGGCCUGUACCAGCGCACGCGGCUCAACUUUAAUCUUCUCGACACGUGUGGCCGCUCCGCCGCCACGCUCGCGCUCGAGCGUGGCGACACGCUCUCCGUGCGGCUCCUUUCGUUCUACGGUGCGCAUGUGGCCUUUGAUGGGCAAGUGAACGCAUCGCACACCCGCCUAGCGCGCGCCUGCACCCACGGCGAUGUCGCCCGCGUCGAGGCGCUGCUCCGCCAAGGCGACUCGAUCACGCAGAUCUCGGCGGACGGCCGCUACACGCUUGUGCACUACGCCGCCGCGCAGCCAAGCGUCCUGCGGACGUUGGUGGAGCAUGGGUUGUCGCUGGAGUUCGAGAACGCCUUUGGGGAGUCGGCGCUGACGUCGCUGCUGCGGCACGGCACGGCACGGAACGACCCGCGGUACGUGCAGACCCUGCUGGCCAUCGCCGCCGCCGUGCGCAGUGCUUCGACGGAUGGGGCGACGAACACGGCCACGGCGAACCUCGUGAACAGCAUCGGCAGCACCAUCUCCGCCAACGCCGUGCGCUUCGCGCAGCUGUCGACGGCGGUGCAGCGCAACAUGAUUCUGUGCCCGCCGACGCCAAUCACGACGCUCAUGAACGCAGGCGGCGCAGCGUCGGGCUCGCCGGCAGCCCAUCUCCGUCUUAUAAGCAAUAACGUGAGCCACGGCACGGUAGCACAAGGGACGGCCAGCAAGAGCAACGGCGGCAACGCGUCGCGCCCCUCAGCGCGUCAGUCCUUCUUGGGGGGUUGCGAGGUCGGCACGUGGUGGUCAUUCCUGCCGCCGACAGCGACGACAGCCGACGUGCUGGACUCGCUGCUGCGUGCGGGCGCAGUAAUGCAGGGUUUUGUGCCGGACGAGGAGCUGGACUUGCCCUACGUGCUCUUCUCGGAGCGGCAAACGUCCAUCAGCGCGUGGGGCGGUGGCGCCCGCGGGUUCGCGUCGGCGGCCGACGAAGACGACGAGGCCGAAGAUGACGAUAUCAGCGACGGCGGCGUGGAGGAAAGCGGCAACGCUGACGGCGAGGACGACUACGGGUACGACGACGAUGACGGCAGCGUUGCCGACGCCGGCGGCUACAAGGCGAGCCGCACACCCCUCUCCGCCUCGGUGGCGACGAUCACGCCCGCCUCGGAGCAACGUGAUCGUGGCAGGAGGCGGCAGAAGCGGGGCGACGUGCUGCCGGCACGACUGCCGAUGCGUCUCACCCCCCUCCACCACGCCAUCUUCGACUACCACCCCGAGUUGAUUCGCCGCCUCCUGGUCGACUACCGCGUCGACCCCAUGCACCGCGAUUCGCAAGGCGCGACAGCGGUACACUAUGCCGCCCUCUGCACGCACGCGCAGUCGGUGCUGGAGCUGCUGCUCUCACCACAGGUUUUGGCGCCGAACGCCAUCGGCAACAGCAAGGGCCGCCUGAGCAGCAACCCCGGUCCUGACGUGAUCACCGGUGCCGCGUCGGCAGUCGCCGGCGCAUCGUCCGCUGCCGCAGGGCCUUCGGACGUCCGCAUCGAUCUCAACGCCAUCGAUAUGGCGGGCCGCACUCCGCUCUUCUACGCCGCCUACGUCGGCAACGCGACGGCGGUGCAGCGCCUAAUCCGCUUCGGGGGCGCGACGCUGCUGUGCGGUAAGGCAGACAAGGACGGAUACACACCGCUGCACGUAGCGGUUCAGCAGCGGCACGCCGACAUUGUGGAGCUGCUCAUCCGCCACUCGAACCAGUUGAUGAGCAGCGCCGCGGGAGUAGGGCGCGGGCAGCCGGUGGACGUCCUCGCGGAGCUGCUCGCUAGCACCAGCAGCGGGGGUGGUUCGGCAGGACGCUCCUCGCGCGGUGGAACGCGUCUCGGUGCGCACCGCCGCAGCAGUAGCGUCUUGGCACCGGGGAGCGGUCACCACGGUCAGGGCGGCUCCCACAGCGCGGGCGAGCCGUCGUUGGCGGGUCUCACCGGUAUCGCGAACCCGGAGCUGCUUGUUAACGUGGAAGCGGUAGAGAGCGUGACGCACAUGACCGCGCUAGAGAUGGCGAUCAAGGCGCAGCAGCAACCGCAGCAGUCGACCUCCUCCUCGGCAUCUCUUUCGGAGGCGCAGGAGCUGCAGAAGGAACGGCUCCUGCGCAUUGUCUCGGUGCUGCUCUCCGAGGCGCAGGCCAGCCCGCUCCGGCCGAGCGGGCUGGCCAACGGCGGUGCGCUGCUGCACCGCGCCGUCGCCGAUGGCAACGUGGAGAUGGCGGAGCUGCUCUUGUCGCAGUACACGGAUCCGAACGAGGUCGACGACGUGAAUGAGACGCCCCUCUUUCUCGCGCUCCGGCUCGCCGCGCCUGCGUCUGCGCUGCAGGCGAGCUCAGCAGAGCAGAAGCAGCAGCACCGCCUCCGUCGCACCUCGCUUGUUCGGGUUCUCCUGCAGUAUGGCGCCACGCCCUACGCGCAGAGUAGCGUUCACCUGCAGACACCCUUGCAUCUCGCGGCGAGCAGCCUGGCCGACGACGAUGAGAUUGUUCAGCUCCUCUUCUACUCGACUCCCGACGCCGGCGGCGGCUACGGUGCAGUUCGCCGGCGGCGGCAGGAGCAGCAGAGGCACCAACAAGCACCGUCCUACGCCGCGGACGUGAUGGACGGAGACGCACCAAGAGACAACUAUCCCCUUGGCGGCAGCAUGGGAGGUGGCAGUAGUGCCAGGGGGCGCCACAGCAGCAGCAGCGGCGGUUCCACAGCAGGACGCAAGAACUUUGAGCGUCGCGUACGCGAGCGACGCGCACAGCAGCAGCAGCAGCAGCAGCAACGCCGCUCCUCGCCAUCCCCUUCAUCGACAGGCCGAUCCAUAAGCACAUUCCCGGGUCCUCGCCGCAAGCCGUGGAGAGCUGCCGCCGCCUUGUCCGAGAGUGAUCGCGGCUCCAGCGCCGCUGACUUUGAUGGCCCCACCGACGAUCAAUCCUUGCUGGCGAACAGCAGUUUUGGCUAUCAUGAAGCCCUCAACCGCAGCGUUGCCAGUGUAGAGCAGGCGGGGGCAGAUCAGAGCCUGUCGCGCACGGGGGAAGAGCUCGUGCCUGACAGUCGCGCCGGCGGCGACGCCGAGGAGGACGUGCUGCAGGACGAACAUCAACAGUUCCUGAAGCGACUGGCGCAGUGGCAGUGCGCGGACCACUUGCUGGAGCCGGAGAAGUGCUGGAUGCUGACGGAUGCGCAGGGGCAGACGCCACUGCACGUUCUCUGCAGUCGCUCCUCACCUGCCCUUCAGCGUAUGCCGGCUGUGCUGAAGCUUCUCGAAGACCUGCAAGCCGUGACACGCACCAACUCAGCUAUCGCUGCUGUGGCGGCCGGUGUCUUCGACGGCACGCGUGACGACGAUCAUGUUCUCUCGUUGUGCUGGCACCUCUCCGACGCGCAUGGCCGCACGCCGUUGCACGCGGCGGCGCAGAGCGGCUUCGUAGAGGCGAUGGAGUACAUUCUAAAGCAGGCGCCGAAAAGUGCUCUUGCCGUGGACAUGCAGGGCCGCACGCCGCUGCAUGCGUGUGUGUUGAUGGCCGCCUCGCCAACCGCCGCCACAGCCGUCCCUACACACGCACAGGGCGACGACGAGGAGGAGGUGGUGGUGGUGGCGGCGGAGCGGGCGACGCGGCUGCGACGCAUGCUGUCGCUGCUGCGUAGUGCGGUCGCCGCCGCCGACAGCAGCGGGGCGGCCGGGACGGCAAAGCCCUCGUUGCCGCUGCAGCUGCAGGGGACACCAUUGCGUCGCGCCGCUGGUGACGUCCUGCCGUCACUCUCGAUGAAGACGAUCAAGACAAUGAGCAACGCCAUCGGGAGCGCCGCGGCGCCGCACUCCUCCGCUCAGCGCUUGGUUGCUUCUCUCGUGCAGGGGUCUUCCAUAACGGCUCAGCUGCAGCGUUGGCAGCAGUCACGCCAUUGGGGAUGUCCUGCCCUCGCCAUGAAGGGCAUCGGCAGAACCAGCGCCCACAUGCGUACAGCGUGUGGGGACGGCUUGGCAGCAGCAGCAGUACCGGCUUCGCGCGACUUGCAGCCGAGCGACGGCGUCUUAACCUCUUCAGGCGCCGCGAGUGAGUGGAAGACUUACGUGCAGCUGCCAGAUGGACAAGGACGGACAGCGCUGCUGCUGGCGGCGGAGGUCGGCAACGUCGGCGCUGCUCGAGAGCUCCUGAGGACCAUGUAGACAAGCACGGAGGUAGCAGGCUGGCGGAAGAAUGAGAACGGCGUGAGUGCACGAGUGGGAGGGGGAGGGGGAGGGGGCUGACCCUGGUCCUCGUCGCGUGGCUGUCCCUGUGCGCCCCGCCCCCGCCAUGACCACGGCCCCCACCCCCUUUUCUGUGGAGAGACAGACGUCUGCGUCGCGCCCUCCUCCUCUUCCCUCUGUGUGCUGGUAGGUUUGUUUCUAUUUCGCGCUUCGUUGCCGUUGUCGCGGUCCGUGGCGUGCGAUGUACAUGAAGCUGGCUCGCCCACCCACACGCACACACACCUCACACUCGGGCAAGUCAACUUCGCGCGCUCUCCCUUUCCUUGCGCACCUGUGGCAUCAUCUUAUCUUCCCCAGUGAUGAGCGCGUGCGUCUGGGCCACAAGCGAGCACACACAGGUUUACGUGCGUCUGUGAGAAGACGUCUCUCGGAACCGUGUGUGGCCCUUCCCCUCCUUUCCCUCCCGCCUUUCCUUCAGAGCACGACCUUCAUAUCUCCUACAGAUGUAAAUGCCCGUGUUACGGUCCUUCGAAGUCCACCUUGGCUCAUCAACAUAUCAUCUCGCAUCGCUCGGUGCACUCCGCCUGUGGCGGCGGUGGUUGCUCUGCUGCGUCCGUGAUGGGCAUGAGUGCUCACCGGGGCCCCUCUUCUGAUUCUCAGCCUUUUCCCGACCACGGCAUUCGCAUCGCCCGCUGUCGGCGGCGGCGCUGCUCGCCCUUCCUCCCCCGUAGAUCCCGCUCUCCCUCC